GGCUGACAUGUUCCAUUCGUCUGAGUAAGGAAAAAGAUAGAAAAGGAAGUAAGAUUCGAGGUGCAUAACCAUUUAAGGGCAUCUACAAAUAUGGCCAUGUUUGAGGCGCUUUACGUUCGUCUAACGGAUGGAAUGCAUUAAGGCAGCCUAUCCUCCACUCUCUCUUCUGGUUUCCUCACGUCCCGAUGUUUGCAUUUUUGAUUCUCGUUUGUGAAGCUUCGGCCGAGUGCCAAUAAUUGUACGGAAGUGGUCUAACUAUAGUGGCAUCACGUGUUGGCAUAAUAAGUCUGGCAUACGUCUUCCAUCUCGUAGCUAUUGGGAUGAUGCAUUGAGAUUUCCCAGCCCAUUACUCCUAGAAAUAAAAGCAGCUGACAGCAUAAUGGAGCGAUAGAAAACACUGGAAGAAAAUGUCAUGGAAGAAGAAAAGGAAGAGAGCCUGGGACAGAUGGAAGAGGAGAGAAGUCAACAGCAGUUUUUUUUUAGAAGAAGAUGAGGGAAAGAAAACAAAAAAAGGCUGAAAAGAAAAAGAGGAAAAGGAUAAAGAAACGAGAGUUAAAGUGAAGGGAAAAAGAUGCCGAUAAUGGGAACGAUUUUAACGACGACCUGUAUGAUGACGACGAGUACGAUGAUUUUGACGUCAUGACCAGAUGGCCAGGAUAUUAGAGUCAGCAAGUGUCAAAAAGCUGUUUCCGAUGCAAAAUUCUAUGUUUCGUUGUAGAGAUGAGUUUGUUUGCAGCCUAGCUGCAAACAUUUCAUCAUGAAUAAAAUUUGAAGUUUUCACCUGUAAUUCAGAUCCAAUUUGCGAUGUUGACUGGAAAAUAAAUACAAAUAUUUUCGUGUCUUACGCUUAUUAUGGAUUCAUCUUCAUUCAUCGAGUAGGGCAU